AGCACGGUGGCCGAGUGGUUAAGGCGUUGGACUUAAGAUCCAAUGGACGUAUGUCCGCCAAGCGUGGGUUCGAACCCCACCCGUGCUA